AACGGACGAACGCAAACCCCGGUCUCCGCCUGCCCCAAUCCCCACUCCAGGCCGUCAUCCCCAACCCACCAUGAGGACGAGGAUGCCGAGCUCAGGCGGCGGCGCUGGUCCGGGCCUCCGAGGGAUCAGACUGUCCUCCGUUGACCUCUGCUUCCUCUUCCUCAAGACCUUGGCCGCCUGGUGCAGGGAGACCGCAGCUCCGCGCUCGUAGGCCUGCCCAAUCCUCCUCUUGCUCCUCGCGCUGCUCUUCCCUCCCCCCGCCCCCGCCCCCGCCAGUGCCGCCUCGCUGUCCCCGCUCGCGGCCAUCUCCAACGCCUCCUCCCACGCCUACGCCCACCCCUGAUGCCACCUUCUUCGAUGCGACGUUGUCGACACCGUCGCCAACAAGUACGGCUGGGACCCCGUCACGGAGGUCCGGGUCUGGCCGCUCAACACCAAGGGCGCGCUCGUCGGCGCCGUUCAGCGGUACGAGUUCCGCGCCGGUGCGGGGGCGCCGCGGUCGCGCUGGCACGGGCCUCUGACGGGGCCGUCAACUGGAGCCGCCCCGACGCCCCCGCGGUGGAGGAGGUGGUCUGGCCCGACGGGGUCGACUUCGUCGCCGGCGACGGCGCCCUGGCGUUCGGCACCGGCGUCAGGGACAUGGACAUAGUAGGCCCGUUCGAGCUGGUGGUCUCCGAUGGCGCUGGCGGGGGCCUCGCAGAGCUCCAGCUGCCGUCGGUGUCCUGUCUCCGGCGUUCUUGAGCACCAUUGGGUCGAGGAAGGAGAAGCCAUCCUAUGGACUAAAACAGUUUGUGUGAGAUUUUAUUUUCUGGUGGGUUUAUUAGCUGGCUUGGAAAUGCUCCCUUGACAUUGUCUCAUUCAUCAACACAAAGAUUGUCAGCCUUUACCCAAUUGCAAGAUCUUCAGAAUAAAAAAGGGGAGACUGAGACCGGUAGAAAAGAGAUUCUUCAGUACACAAUAUAUGCAUCUGUUGAUUUUGCAAUUGUCCAGCGGCGAGGCCAACCAGGGCGUACAGGGGCGGAGUCGGCAACUUGGUAGUGCGUCCAUUUACGCGUGGUGGCCUGCGGAUUUGGGUGCAUGACAGCCGGCCAACAUGCUGUGUGGGCGUGAUGUUGUCGACAUGUUGUACAUGAGUGUUGGCUGCCAGAGGCGCGCGUGGCUGACCGAUAAGUGUGUGGUGCUUGAGGAUAGCUUUAUUCAUAUUCUUCCAAUUUCGAGAGAGGAAGAGAACUCAGUAGUACUGCCAAUUUUGGCACGCAAUGUUCGUUUUUCAGAUUCACCAUGAUUGGCUCGGCGACAAGUGUUGUCGUCAUGAGGCCAGACGACUUGUUGCGCCAAUCCGGUGAGAGCAUCCAAUAGCGGAAUGUCAUCCGAAGAAUCAUGUCCAGUGAGUAGUCCAGCUCCAGCAACAAAACCACAUCUGGUUUUCACCAACAAGCUGGACCAGCGGCAUUGUACUCGGGUUUUGUUUGGUGAGAUUCUCUUCAGAAAACAAGAUUUGUAUUGGUGGUAGAUUGACAGCAACUGACAGCAUCUUCGUCAUCCGCGGUGGCAGUGCCGUCCGCGCGGAAUGCCUUCUGCGUCCGCGCCUCCGCCACCGACACCGCCACGCAGCCAAUGAUGUCGGCAUGUGGUGAAAAAAGGGCCCAAGUGAAAGGUCGACCAAGCUGUAAAAAUUCAGUGAAGAGGAAUUUUUGUGCUCACAGCUCACACCAUGGCGUCCGUUGCCUCUGUUCUUACUUUAUUAUUUUGUUUUUCCCUUCGUCGAUUUUUCACGUCGCCUGACAAGAACAAGAAUUGCAAAGAAGAAGUGAAAAGAAAACACAGAACAAAGGAUGAACGCCAGAGAGCACUACUAUAUAUUUUUCCCCCAAAAUAUGAUGGGCAGUGGUGUGCUUGUUUGCAUUGAUCGCAUGGUGGCCAGCACUUCACCACACAUCUGACGGCGACUGUUUUAUCCAUGAGGUGGAGGAUAAGAGAAGCGCAUCUCUGAAAUUCACAGUUUUGAACCUAAAGAGACACAUCUAGAAAAUGAUUGCACGAGUGGUUCCAGUGUCAUGUACGUCAACAUGGUUGGAGAUUUGGGAUCGGAUGCUGCGCCAAGAGCGAGGGACAGAGGUGCUGAACUAACAGCAGGGGGGAGGGUGAUUCUUCAGGUACCAACAUGGCUGUCGACUAGAGAAUUUAGUUAACCGUUUGCUUUACUUGAAGCUCCAAAUUGUAGUUAUUUUAUUUGUUCACUAAUUUGGUAUAAUCCUAAUAUAGGAGGACUAUGAUUGUAUGAUAUGAGAUCCUGACAUUUAGCAAUAAUAAAAGUCUGGCACUGAAUGGUUCUUUUCGGAAGUACAGUUGUAAGAUCUAUGAUUCUAGCUUCGACCUUUAACUGGACAGUACUAAUUGGACAUAUAAUUGAUUAUUUAUGCACAACAAGAUAUUCUGUUUGUUUUAGUUUUUCAAUCAGAUUCAUCUAGCCCUUUGUUGAAUUUCUAAUUGUUCCACCCUCUACCUCUGAAACUCAGAAAUCAGAGAAAGGUCAUUGGCAUAUCCCUAUCUCUGACGGAAAUUUGCUAGCGAGGAAGAGGACCAGAAUGUUUUUUCUAUUGUUGGGGAUAUACAUAAUACAUAUAGAUAAAUUUGGACCAUUUAUAACAGAGAUUUCUUGCCAAAAAUAUUAACUCUGUCCAGCAGUGGGCACUGUCAAGGUAAUAACAGGAAUUUGCUGAACCUAAUUGAAAGAAAGAGGGAUGGUAAUCCGAUCGAGAACAUUCUCUAACUAAAAUAGACUUACGAACAAUCAACAAUAUCAAAUAAUUUCAAAUUAACAAAUGUUGUUUGAUUAAAAUACUGAUUUAAGAAUUUGGCGAAUCUAUAAUUCUCUACAUAGAGCCUGUUCGGAAAUGGUCUGGCUCCUCAGAAUCCUCGACUCCGGCUCCUGCUCCCGAAAUACUGCUCCUCGUAAAAAAUAGCCCUGAAAAAAAACUGUUCGACAGACAGCUCCGCUCCUUGAUUCACUUGUGGCGGGUGGAGGAAACAGAAACGAGCGAGUCGUGUGGCCGCUCUGAACCGUUUCCCACUUGGCGGUGGCAGUUCCUUUGUAAAUUUUAUCAACUCCAUGAUAUUGAAGAUCUGAGAUCUGAGAAUUAGCCGCUCCACAAAAUUGCACAGCAGCCCGCUUCACUCCAUGUUUUCAGCUCCGUGGAGCUCAAGCGUUCGGCGCCGCUCCACCAACUCCGGGAGUGGAGUUGAGGAGCAGAGAGAAACCGAACACACCCAUAAUCACUUGGUGCAUUGUUAGACCACUUGGGGACAAUAUCAUCAAUUUCUUGCAUACUGCAAUAAUGCAAGUUUAAAAAGCCAGUUUCUUGUGUUUCUUAUUAUCUCUGUGUUCAGCUAACUGCCAAGAAUCAUAUAAGGAUGCAUCUAAUGAGGUAGAUUUUGUUUAUGCAUUUUUUAAGUGUAUAGGGAUGCUGUAUCUGAUUAACAAAACAUUGUUCAACCUUCUAUGAGUCCACCUAGGGAGCUGCACAAAUUUGGAACAACUUCCAGAACAGGCAUCCAAGCAUUUUGGUCUGCUACCAGUAAGCUGCCAGAGCAAGAUAGCUGGGAGUCUGGGAUGUCGAGUCGUCGAGCCGUCCAAUGCCAAGUUCGCCGGCGGAAGGAGAACAUCCGUCAAGCCGUCCGUCGCCUGAGGCGGCUACACCAGAGGUCCGUGGGUUACUACUCCUUUGCUCUUGCUGGCGACCGGCCUCCAGAGUAGCACUUGCUUGAGAUCUGAUCUAGAACUGAAUUGUGCCCUGCUUUGCUGUGGUCGUAUGCUCUAUGUCCACCGAUGAGUUUCAGAUACAGAUUAGGACCAAAAUUGGAGUAGGUUCAGUCGCGCAAAUGUUGUAUCACUUUGUCAUGGGUAUUGUGCUGUUGAAUUGCUUGUUGGACUGUUCAAACUAAAGUCGUCCAGUCAGUUUGCUACAAUGUUCAUUUGUUUACUUUGGAAGUUCUGUAGAAUUUGGGCCUGAUCACUUUCGAAUUUGUCUGUGGUUUGAGAUUAAUCUUUCCGAGAUGUUAGAGAGUGGGUCCAAGGAUGGAUCUGCCCAUCAGUGUGCAGAGGAUCUUCUAAUUCCUGCAGCUAAUCUUGAUUCAUGGAUAUUGUGUUU